rnacentral:rRNA from 1 species
AGUGAACGCUGGCGGUAGGCCUAACACAUGCAAGUCGAACGGCAGCACAGUAAGAGCUUGCUCUUACGGGUGGCGAGUGGCGGACGGUUGAGGAAUACAUCGGAAUCUACUUUUUCGUGGGGGAUAACGUAGGGAAACUUACGCUAAUACCGCAUACGACCUACGGGUGAAAGCAGGGGAUCUUCGGACCUUGCGCGAUUGAAUGAGCCGAUGUCGGAUUAGCUAGUUGGCGGGGUAAAGGCCCACCAAGGCGACGAUCCGUAGCUGGUCUGAGAGGAUGAUCAGCCACACUGGAACUGAGACACGGUCCAGACUCCUACGGGAGGCAGCAGUGGGGAAUAUUGGACAAAGGGCGCAAGCCUGAUCCAGCCAUACCGCGUGGGUGAAGAAGGCCUUCGGGUUGUAAAGCCCUCUUGUUGGGAAAGAAAAGCAGCAGGUUAAUACCCCGCUGUUCUGACGGUACCCAAAGAAUAAGCACCGGCUAACUUCGUG